CCUACGGGAGGCAGCAGUGAGGAAUAUUGGUCAAUGGACGCAAGUCUGAACCAGCCAUGCCGCGUGCAGGAGGACGGCUCUAUGAGUUGUAAACUGCUUUUGUACGAGGGUAAACGCAGAUACGCGUAUCUGUCUGAAAGUAUCGUACGAAUAAGGAUCGGCUAACUCCGUGCCAGCAGCCGCGGUAAUACGGAGGAUUCAAGCGUUAUCCGGAUUUAUUGGGUUUAAAGGGUGCGUAGGCGGUCGGAUAAGUUAGAGGUAAAAGCCCGGGGCUCAACUCCGGCACUGCCUCUGAUACUGUCGGGCUAGAGUUUAGUUGCGGUAGGCGGAAUGUAUGGUGUAGCGGUGAAAUGCAUAGAGAUCAUACAGAACACCGAUUGCGAAGGCAGCUUACCAAGCUACGACUGACGUUGAGGCACGAAAGCGUGGGGAGCAAACAGGAUUAGAUACCCGAGUAGUC
rnacentral:rRNA from 1 species